GUGCUCGCUUCGGCAGCACAUACACUAAAAUUCGAACGAUACAGAGAAGAUUAGCAUGGUCCCUGCAGAAGGAGGACACACCAAUUCAUGAAGUGUUCCAUAUGUUU